CCACAUCAUGUUGAAACACCUGUUCCCAUAUGAUCACCAGUUAAGCAACAUUGAGCCUGGUCAGUACCUAAAUGGGUGACUAUUUGGUAAUACCAGGUGCUGUAAG